AUCCAGCUGACGAGUCCCAAAUAGGACGAAAUGCGUAUUCUGGAU
rfam:Trichobilharzia regenti genome assembly, scaffold: TRE_contig0033095